AUACGUAGGGGGCAAGCGUUGUCCGGAAUUAUUGGGCGUAAAGCGCGCGCAGGCGGCCUGUUAAGUCUGGUGUGAAAGACCACGGCUCAACCGAGGGGUGGCAUCAGAAACUGGCGGGCUUGAGUGCAGGAGAGGAGAGUGGAAUUCCCGGUGUAGCGGUGGAAUGCGUAGAGAUCGGGAGGAACACCAGUGGCGAAGGCGACUCUCUGGCCUGUAACUGACGCUGAGGCGCGAAAGCGUGGGGAGCGAACAGGAUUAGAUACCCUGGUAGUCCACGCCGUAAACGAUGAGUGCUAGGUGUUGGGGGUCUCCGCCCUCUGUGCCGAAGGUAACCCAAUAAGCACUCCGCCUGGGGAGUACGGCCGCAAGGCUGAA
rnacentral:rRNA from 1 species